AGUGAACGCUGGCGGUAGGCCUAACACAUGCAAGUCGAACGGCAGCACAGUAAGAGCUUGCUCUUACGGGUGGCGAGUGGCGGACGGGUGAGGAAUACAUCGGAAUCUACUUUUUCGUGGGGGAUAACGUAGGGAAACUUACGCUAAUACCGCAUACGACCUACGGGUGAAAGCAGGGGAUCUUCGGACCUUGCGCGAUUGAAUGAGCCGAUGUCGGAUUAGCUAGUUGGCGGGGUAAAGGCCCACCAAGGCGACGAUCCGUAGCUGGUCUGAGAGGAUGAUCAGCCACACUGGAACUGAGACACGGUCCAGACUCCUACGGGAGGCAGCAGGGGGGAAUAUUGGACAAGGGGCGCAAGCCUGAUCCAGCCAUACCGCGGGGGUGAAGAAGGCCUUCGGGUUGUAAAGCCCUUUUGUUGGGAAAGAAAAGCAGCAGGUUAAUACCCCGCUGUUCUGACGGUACCCAAAGAAUAAGCACCGGCUAACUUCGU
rnacentral:rRNA from 1 species